ACAGCAGCGCCGCGGGAAUACGGAGGGAGCUAGCGUUGUUCGGAAUUACUGGGCGUAAAGCGCACGUAGGCGGCUUUGUAAGUUAGAGGUGAAAGCCUGGAGCUCAACUCCAGAAUUGCCUUUAAGACUGCAUCGCUUGAAUCCGGGAGAGGUGAGUGGAAUUCCGAGUGUAGAGGUGAAAUUCGUAGAUAUUCGGAAGAACACCAGUGGCGAAGGCGGCUCACUGGACCGGCAUUGACGCUGAGGUGCGAAAGCGUGGGGAGCAAACAGGAUUAGAUACCCCUGUAGUCCCUGUCUCUUAUACA
rnacentral:rRNA from 1 species